ensembl:lncRNA
UCCAAGGACCGGGGAUGGAGUCCCAAACCCCUGCUGUGGUGGAUGUCCUCGAGCUCGUCAGCGCUUUACGAGCCGCUCUUUCUCCGGUCACCAACCCAUAAAUCUGCCUCUGCCAGUCCCAUGGCCCUUCCUGCUCCUUUCUCGGGUGAGGAGGUUGAAUGUGAUGUUUUUUUGCUUCAGAUUUCUCUCUUUAUUGAGAUGCAGCCCCAGAAGUUCAUCAUGGAGUAGUCUAAGGUGGCCUUUCUCAUCUCUCUGCUUAUGGGACGGGUAUUGCUCUGGGCACAAGCCAUCUGGGACUCUCAGAGCGGCUUAAUUAACUCUUUAGAUGCCUUCUCAGCCCACUUUAAGGAAGUCUUCGGCCAGUCCACCGGCUAUCUGUCCAUCACCGAACAGCUUAUUCACCUCCAUUAGGGCAUGUUUUUGGCAGAUGUUUAUACUCUGCAGUUCCACACCCUGGUGGUCUAGCGGAUGGAAUGAGGCGGCGCUGCUGACGACCUACCGACAGGGUUUAGACCCCCACAUCCGUUUUCAUGAUGACCAUCUAUGACGACACUGUUGACAAAAGGCAGUGAAAAUUUCUCAGCACCUCACCGCCUGCCAGCCCAACGAAACAGCUCAUUCCCCAGCCUCACCCGCAGCCUGUCCUCCAGUACCAGAACCGAUGCAAGUAGAAACCUAUCGUCUCUCACGAGUGGAGCGUGCUCGACGUCCCGCCAUGGGACUGUGUGUCUAAUGUGGAGCUUCAGGGCACUUCAUUAAGACGUGCCCUUCUCGUCCCCCAUGCCCAGUGUAUCCACCCUUGUUGACUCGGGCUUCUCAGGAAACUUCAUUUCCCAACCCCUCCUAAAGUGUCUCAACCUACCUUGAAGGAGGCAGGCCCAGUAGCUCAGGAUUGAAAUGAUCCAAGGGAAACCGCUUGGGUUUGGGCGCAUCAAGUACUGAUCACCUCAUGUAUCCCUACAAGUGGGAUGUUUCCACAAGGAGACAAUUUCCUUUCUUGUACUGGAGGGAACCUACAUGGACAUCAUCCUGGGACACCCAUGGAGUUAUGGAGUUAUCACAACACUUUCCCGAGGUCAGAUGGGAUUCCAGCGAGAUCCUCCGAUGGAGCGAGACCUGUUUCCAAAAUUGUCUCUCCAACGUUCUGUCGCCCCCUGAGAAAACCCCCAGUCUCCAACUUAACUCCAACCUUGUGGAGAGCCCUGAAUGCUUGGAGAGCCCUGCAAUCCCAUCUGACUAUGUGGCAUUCCAGGACUUUAGCAAACAGGCAGCGACCAAGUUACCACCUCAUCAGCCAUGGGACUGUGCCAUUGACCUGUUGCCUGGAGCCCAUCUCCCCAAGGGUCCCCUUGUCCAUCCUGGAGUGCAAUGCAAUGGAGGAUUACAUCAAGGAGGCUCUCCAACAACGGUUUAUUUGCCCUUCCACCUCACCAGCCACCUCAAGCUUCUUCUACGUGGGCAAGAAGGAUAAAGGUUUGUGACCCUAAAUUGAUUACCAGGCCCUGAAUGGACACACUGUCAAGCUCCCCUAUCCACUUCCUCUGGUCCCGGCCUGAACUCCGCGGGGCCCACAUCUUCUCGAAGCUGGACCUGCGGAGUGCUUCUAACCUCAUUCGAAUCGGGUCUCCCCUGUCAGGAGCCACCCCUGGAGGAGGGGAUACUGUCAGGAAGUCACAGUCACCACAGUCACCUCCAACUACGCUCACCAGAUCCCAAUCCCCUGAUUAUUGAUCACCAGCACCUGUCUCCACUCAUCAAGAGCAUUAUAUCCUUGCACUCCUCCCGCACCUUCUUUGUAUGGUCUCAAACAUUGUAUGUUUAAUUACCUGACCCUAUAUACCUGCAAUCACCUACCUGCUAGUUGCUUCAGCGUUCUGCUCUCUGUUCUCCUCCACUACAGUGCUCCAUCAUCUCCAUGUCCUUCUGUUCCCCUGGUAUCCCCUGGAAAAGAAAAAGGACUCAGUUACUCACAGAUAAGACCUGCUAACCUUUGCUACUCCCCAAAUUCACACCUGGACUCUUUGCCUUGCUUUCUUCAACCUGCC